CCUUAUGGAUGAGCAAAGAAAGUGGUUUCUUGAGAUGGAAUCUACUCCUGAUGAAGAUGCUGUGAA
rnacentral:pre_miRNA from 1 species